UUGGAGUAGGCCCAACAAGCCUAUCGAAAGCCUUGUUGCAAAGAGCAGGACUGAGGCAGCGACGGAGAAGAUCGCUCUUUGCAAAACCCGCUGCGGAACUUCGGUUGAUUUUUCAGCUACUCACAGCAAGUUCUAGAAGAUUUCAAGCUCCUCAUCCUCGCAGUGGAAGUACUGUAAUUAUGAGCAGCUGGUGCUUUUGGACCAAAAGAGAUUUCUGGUGGCCAGAGAACUCCAGUCUCUGAUGCUGUGAUCGAGCAGAAGAAUUGUGGAAUCUGUGAAGCAAAGAAUUGGAACCCAAGUCUCUUGGAUGAUGAGGCCACUGGUUCUGUUGAUAGGAUCCAAACAAGGUUAUCUGUUGGGAAGAAAUGGCAAACAGGAGAAGCACCAGGUACCGUCUUCAGAACGUGAAAUGAAACAUGAUUAGGAUCCCAAUGUGAGGUGUCCAUGUGGCAAAUGGCGGCAGCUUCCACUCUGCCACCAUCCUCUCCAGCCAGCAAAACCUUGUAAAGCUUAUUGUCACUAACUUGGC